rnacentral:rRNA from 1 species
UACAGAGGGUGCAAGCGUUAAUCGGAAUGACUGGGCGUAAAGGGCGCGUAGGCGGCUUGAUAAGUUAGCUGUGAAAGACCUGGGCUUAACCUGGGAACGGCAGUUAAGACUGUGAGGCUCGAGUCGGAGAGAGGGGAGCGGAAUUUCCGGUGUAGCGGUGAAAUGCGUAGAUAUCGGAAGGAACACCAGUGGCGAAGGCGGCUCCCUGGCUCCAGACUGACGCUGAGGCGCGAAAGCGUGGGUAGCGAACAGG